AUAUCGACGGCGGUGUUUGGCACCUCGAUGUCGGCUCAUCACAUCCUGGGGCUGAAGUAGGUCCCAAGGGUAUGGCUGUUCGCCAUUUAAAGUGGUACGCGAGCUGGGUUUAGAACGUCGUGAGACAGUUCGGUCCCUAUCUGCCGUGGGCGCUGGAGAAUUGAGGGGGGCUGCUCCUAGUACGAGAGGACCGGAGUGGACGCAUCACUGGUGUUCGGAUUGUCAUGCCAAUGGCACUGCCCGGUAGCUAAAUGCGGAAGAGAUAAGUGCUGAAAGCAUCUAAGCACGAAACUUGCCCCGAGAUGAGUUCUCCCUGACUCCUUGAGAGUCCUGAAGGAACGUUGAAGACGACGACGUUGAUAGGCCGGGUGUGUAAGCGCAGCGAUGCGUUGAGCUAACCGGUACUAAUGAACCGUGAGGCUUAACCUUACAACGCCGAAG
rnacentral:rRNA from 1 species